CGGAGGAUCCGAGCGUUUAUCCGGAUUUAUUGGGUUUAAAGGGUGCGUAGGCGGAAUUGUAAGUCAGUGGUGAAAGCCCUUCGCUUAACGAAGGAACUGCCAUUGAUACUGCAAUCUUGAGUACAUUUGAUGAGGGCGGAAUGUGUCAUGUAGCGGUGAAAUGCUUAGAUAUGACACAGAACACCGAUUGGCGAAGGCAGCCC
rnacentral:rRNA from 1 species